AGAGACAGCAGUAGCCGCGGGAACACGAAGGGGGCUAGCGUUGUUCGGAUUUACUGGGCGUAAAGCGCACGUAGGCGGACUUCUAAGUCAGGGGUGAAAUCCCGGGGCUCAACCCCGGAACUGCCUUUGAUACUGGAAGUCCUGAGUAUGGUAGAGGUGAGUGGAAUUCCGAGUGUAAAGGUGAAAUUCGUAGAUAUUCGGAGGAACACCAGUGGCGAAGGCGGCUCACUGGACCAUUACUGACGCUGAGGUGCGAAAACGUGGGGAGCAAACAGGAUUAGAUACCCCCGUAGUCCCUGUCUCUUAUAC
rnacentral:rRNA from 1 species